rnacentral:misc_RNA from 1 species
AACAUCGCGCACCUGCGGGAACCUGCGGAAGGAUCAUUAAUGAUUGGUGGCUGUUGCUGACUAGUGUUUCUAGUAUGUGCACGCCACACCUUCAAUCCCACUUACACCUGUGCACCUUCUGUAAUAGAUCUAUGUGGAUACGGAGAUAUGGAAGUUUGCGCUCUCGUACUCUGUUGAAGCAGUCUACUACGUUUUUUUACACACACACAAUAGUCAUUGAAUGUAUUUUUUAUUCUUAUG